UAAGGAAUAUUGCGCAAUGGGCGACAGCCUGACGCAGCGACGCCGCGUGGGGGAUGAAGGUCUUCGGAUUGUAAACCCCUUUCGGCAGGGAAGAUGGAACGGGUAACCGUUCGGACGGUACCUGCAGAAGCAGCCACGGCUAACUUCGUGCCAGCAGCCGCGGUAAUACGAAGGUGGCAAGCGUUGUUCGGAUUUACUGGGCGUACAGGGAGCGUAGGCGGUUGGGUAAGCCCUCCGUGAAAUCUCCGGGCCUAACCCGGAAAGUGCGGAGGGGACUGCUCGGCUAGAGGAUGGGAGAGGAGCGCGGAAUUCCCGGUGUAGCGGUGAAAUGCGUAGAGAUCGGGAGGAAGGCCGGUGGCGAAGGCGGCGCUCUGGAACAUUUCUGACGCUGAGGUGCGAAAGCGUGGGGAGCAAACAGGAUUAGAUACCCCCGUAGUCCCUGAGCGGGCUGGCAAGGCGCAU
rnacentral:rRNA from 1 species